rnacentral:rRNA from 1 species
AGAGUUUGAUUCUGGCUCAGAAUGAACGCUGGCGGCGUGCUUAACACAUGCAAGUCGAACGGAAUCCAAGGAGCUUGCUCUGGAAGAUUUAGUGGCGAACGGGUGAGUAUCACGUGAGCAACCUGCCCCGAAGACUGGGAUAACACCGGGAAACCGGUGCUAAUACUGGAUGCCUUCCAAUGACCGCAUGGUCGAUGGAAGAAAUGUUUUUUCGCUUCGGGAGGGGCUCGCGGUCCAUCAGCUUGUUGGCGGGGUAAUGGCCCACCAAGGCAUCGACGGAUAGCUGGUCUGAGAGGACGAUCAGCCACACUGGAACUGAGACACGGUCCAGACUCCUACGGGAGGCAGCAGUGGGGAAUCUUGCGCAAUGGACGAAAGUCUGACGCAGCAACGCCGCGUGAGGGACGAAGGCUUUCUGAGUUGUAAACCUCUUUCGACAGGGACGAUAAUGACGGUACCUGUAGAAGAAGCACCGGCCAACUAUGUGCCAGCAGCCGCGGUGAUACAUAGGGUGCGAGCGUUAUUCGGAUUUAUUGGGCGUAAAGAGCUCGUAGGCGGUUCGAUAAGUCGGGUGUUAAAUCCACAGGCUCAACCUGUGGCAGCCAUCCGAAACUGUCGUGACUAGAGUUUGGUAGGGGAUCACGGAAUUCCUGGUGUAGCGGUGGAAUGCGCAGAUAUCAGGAGGAACACCAGCAGCGAAGGCGGUGAUCUGGGCCAAUACUGACGCUGAGGAGCGAAAGCGUGGGGAGCGAACAGGAUUAGAUACCCUGGUAGUCCACGCCGUAAACGGUGGGCACUAGGUGUGGGGACUUUUCAACGGUUUCCGCGCCGCAGCUAACGCAUUAAGUGCCCCGCCUGGGGAGUACGGUCGCAAGACUAAAACUCAAAGAAAUUGACGGGGGCCCGCACAAGCAGCGGAGCAUGUGGCUUAAUUCGAUGCAACGCGAAAAACCUUACCUAGAUUUGACAUGCUGGGAAAAGCC